UGGGGAUGACGUCAAGUCCUCAUGGCCCUUAUGGUAGGGCUUCACACGUCAUACAAUGGUCGGUACAGAGGGUUGCCAACCCGCGAGGGGAGCUAAUCCCACAAAGCCGAUCGUAGUCCGGAUCGCAGUCUGCAACUCGACUGCGUGAAGUCGGAAUCGCUAGUAAUCGUGGAUCAGCAUGUCACGGUGAAUACGUUCCCGGGUCUU
rnacentral:rRNA from 1 species